rnacentral:rRNA from 1 species
UACGAAGGGGGCUAGCGUUGUUCGGAAUCACUGGGCGUAAAGGGCGCGUAGGCGGCCGAUCAAGUCGGGGGUGAAAGCCUGUGGCUUAACCACAGAAUGGCCUUCGAUACUGUUUGGCUUGAGACCGGAAGAGGUUAGUGGAACUGCGAGUGUAGAGGUGAAAUUCGUAGAUAUUCGCAAGAACACCAGUGGCGAAGGCGGCUGACUGGUCCGGUUCUUGCGCUGAGGCGCGAAAGCGUGGGGAGCAAACAGG